rnacentral:rRNA from 1 species
CCUACGGGUGGCAGCAGUGAGGAAUAUUGGUCAAUGGACGAGAGUCUGAACCAGCCAAGUAGCGUGAAGGAUGACUGCCCUAUGGGUUGUAAACUUCUUUUAUAUGGGAAUAAAACAGGGUAUGCAUACCCUCUCGUAUGUACCAUAUGAAAAAGGAUCGGCUAACUCCGUGCCAGCAGCCGCGGUAAUACGGAGGAUACGAGCGUUAUCCGGAUUUAUUGGGUUUAAAGGGAGCGUAGGUGGAUUGUUAAGUCAGGUGUGAAAGUUUGGGGCUCAACCGUAAAAUUGCAGUUGAAACUGGCAGUCUAGAGUGCAGUAGAGGUAAGCGGAAGUCGUGGUGUAGCGGUGAAAUGCGUAGAUAUCAGGAAGAACACCGAUGGCGAAGGCAGCUCACUGGACUGCAACUGACGCUGAGGCUCGAAAGUGUGGGGAGCAAACAGGAUUAGAUACCCGUGUAGUC